rnacentral:rRNA from 1 species
UACGGAGGGUGCAAGCGUUAUCCGGAUUUACUGGGUUUAAAGGGUGCGUAGGUGGGUAGGUAAGUCAGUGGUGAAAUCUUCGAGCUUAACUCGGAAACUGCCAUUGAUACUAUCUGUCUUGAAUACUUUGGAGGUAAGCGGAAUAUGUCAUGUAGCGGUGAAAUGCUUAGAUAUGACAUAGAACACCAAUUGCGAAGGCAGCUUACUACGCAUAUAUUGACGCUGAGGCACGAAAGCGUGGGGAUCAAACAGG